GACGAACGCUGGCGGCGUGCUUAACACAUGCAAGUCGAACGGAAAGGCUCCAGCUUGCUGGCGUACUCGAGUGGCGAACGGGUGAGUAACACGUGGGUAAUCUGCCCUGCACUCUGGGAUAAGCCUGGGAAACUGGGUCUAAUACUGGAUAUGACCUUUCUCCUUAUGGGGUUUGGUGGAAAGUUUUUCGGUGUAGGAUGAGCCCGCGGCCUAUCAGCUUGUUGGUGGGGUGAUGGCCUACCAAGGCGACGACGGGUAGCCGGCCUGAGAGGGUGAUCGGCCACAUUGGGACUGAGAUACGGCCCAGACUCCUACGGGAGGCAGCAGUGGGGAAUAUUGCACAAUGGGCGGAAGCCUGAUGCAGCGACGCCGCGUGAGGGAUGACGGCCUUCGGGUUGUAAACCUCUUUCAGCAGGAACGAAGCGUAAGUGACGGUACCUGCAGAAGAAGCACCGGCUAACUAUGUG
rnacentral:rRNA from 1 species